rnacentral:rRNA from 1 species
UCCGCCCGAUUACUACGAGCCCCAGCUUAAAACUCAAAGGACUUGGCGGCGUCUCCACCCGACUAGAGGAGCCUGUUCUAGAACCGAUAACCCCCGUUCAACCUCACCACCCCUUGUUUUCACAGCCUAUAUACCGCCGUCGUCAGCUUACCCUGUGAAGGUAAAAUAGUAAGCAAAAUGGGCACAACCCAAAACGUCAGGCCGAGGUGCAGCACAUGGGGUGGGAAGAAAUGGGCUACAUUUUCUACAAUAGAAUAUUUUAACGAACGGUAGCAUGAAAUAUGCACCCGAAGGUGGAUUUAGUAGUAAAAAGCAAA